rnacentral:rRNA from 1 species
AACGUAGGUCACAAGCGUUGUCCGGAAUUACUGGGUGUAAAGGGAGCGCAGGCGGGAAGACAAGUUGGAAGUGAAAUCUAUGGGCUCAACCCAUAAACUGCUUUCAAAACUGUUUUUCUUGAGUAGUGCAGAGGUAGGCGGAAUUCCCGGUGUAGCGGUGGAAUGCGUAGAUAUCGGGAGGAACACCAGUGGCGAAGGCGGCCUACUGGGCACCAACUGACGCUGAGGCUCGAAAGUGUGGGUAGCAAACAGGAUUAGAUACCCCGGUGGCUGACUGACU